AGCUCUAAGAAAACUCCAGGGAAAAAAAAAGAUUUUGAAUCAGCCACACUGUCUUGGUUUUGACCUUAUCUUCAUCUUUCAGUGGAGGGAGUUGGCAGAGGAAAUUUGUUAUGUGUUCUGCUGGGACCUGAGAUGAAAGAGAAAGUAAAGGUGCAGGAUGUGACUGCUGUGAUGGUAUGUCCGCUUCGGACCAAGCUUUGUGCCAGUGCCGGGAAAUCCCCCAACCAGCCUGGUGGCUUGCAGAUCUGGACCACUUACUCCAUCUCUUGGCAUUAGACAGACCCCAAUGCUGAGAUCCUGCCAUACACCGAAAGCCGGGGCUGUCGCAACAAGCACACGCGCCCGGGGAACGCGGUGCUGCGUGGGGCGGCCAGUGGGUCCCUGCUCACCCCGCGCUUGAGUGAUGCUCCAAAGAGGCAGCCUGACCUCGCCAGCCUAGUUGAUGAACUUGUGAUCCCGAUUAGCAAAUGCCGCCUCGUUUGGCCUAACAACCAGCGCUGCGGCUGUAAGAUGGCUGCCAAAAAGGAUGGGAAUCGCUGCUUUUGCAUUCGGGGUGAAUAACGAGCUUCAUGUGCAUCAAGAAGCAGCAGGUUAGAGGAGGGGGAGCUUCGCAAGCCAAAGGACAGUGGUGCCUUAGCACAGGCUGUCUGGCCCAGAAACGCAUCAGUGGGAAAGGAGGAUGGAGCAGCUGACUCCUGAAAGUCCCUGCCGUGUAUAAUUUGCCAAGGAGACUGGAGCUGCCCUGCACGGCUAAGAAAACUGAUGUAAGUGUAACUGGGGAAUUCCAGGAGCCGCCUGGCUUCAGAGCAGGCAGUAUUCCCUCCCCUGUCCUUCUUUUUCCUCCUCCUCCUGUCGUCACUGUGAACAACAGCUGAAACCCUGCCUCAGAUUUUCAUAAUCCUGAUACGAGCUGCAGCAGCUGUGCCGAUCCAGGGGAUGCGAUAAGCAGCUGGCAGCGGGAAACACUGCUCGAAAUCCUUCUCCGUCUGCCCUCCCUACUGCUGACCACGCGAACAUGAAGGCUUUUUGCCUCCGGAUCCUGUUUGCGCUGAGCAUCUUGCGCCUGGUGAUCCCGGCAGGAGGGCAACCCAAAGCACCUUUGAAAUGUUCAACAGAAUGUGGUCGGUUUACAUCUGAGAUAUCGGCAAAGAGGAUAAGGAGCUACCGCAGGACUGAACCCAGCUGCAAGAAACAAGCCUUCAUAUUUAUUACCGUGAGGUCCGUGGAGCUUUGUGCGGAUCCAGCAGCAGACUGGGUGAAGAAGAUUGUAGAGAAAUUGGAUCAGAAAAAAGCUACAGAGUCCUCACUUCCACGUGAUCCCAAGUUAGCAGCCGCACCAGAAGGGCCUGGUAUUUUUCAAAAACAUAUCGGUCUUACAGCAACAGUGCCACCUCAAGCCCCCACUCCAACUAUUUUCUUCCAAGGGACUGGCACAACAGUUUUGGAGAGAACAUAUGUUCCUGCUGACAGGGUGGAGGCAUCCAGCAAGUCCCCACCAGCCUCGCAGAACACCACACAGCUCCACGCAGGAUUGUCCCCUGCGAUACGGGAAACCGCUGCCCGCUCUGAAGUCUCUCCAGAAGCAAACAGAGAACCCCUAAAGUCUGCACCUUCAACAGCUUUUGCAGCAAACACGGUCUCCAGUCAGCCCACCCUGCACCCCCCGGCUCUGGUGCAUGGCUUUGACAAGGCUGUAGGAUCUAUGGAGGAAGCUGCAGGGGACACUGCAAAUGCUACGGCUUAUGUUCAAGACAUGACUUCUCCUAGCUCAAAUUCAGACCCUGUGGUCAUUACUAAAGGGUCAGACCAUCCUGUACAUUCUACAAAUGAAUCCCUGGAUACUACAAAUGCAAGAGUCGACACACCAGAAACUGCUUCUAGUAGAUCUAGUUCAUUUCUCCCCUCCAUCCUGGACAGCAAGGGGAUCGCCACAGUCCCAGCCACUCCAGUCCCACCAGAGAUUACUUCAGCUUCUAUUCUAAACCCCACAACUGCCAUAGGUGAAGGUUCUUCUGCCCGCACCAACAAGGUUGCCAGGUACUCUGCAGAUGCUUUUGGUACUAAAACAUUUGGUUAUUCAUCGUCCGUAGGAAAGCAAGAUCCUUCAGAUAUGUUAGUUUUUACUAGUCAAGCGUCCUCAGGCCAAGCCAAAGCACAGGUGACCACAGAAAGACCGAACAAUCUGCCUCUUCCCAGCUUCUUGUCAAGAUCUCAAAUGAACUUUGUCAUCCCUGUUUCUGUGGUAGGGGGUCUGAUGGCUUGCAGUGUUGCUGCUGCAUGGCUGUACCUAAAAUUUGGAAUCAAAGCAGAAGAAAUGUCAAGGGAAAUGGUACAGGGCUUGCUCUACGAGAAGAGGGGACAUGAAAGCAAUGCUUAUCCAAUGGAAGUUGUCUGAGGGCUUUACGGUGUGCACAUACUUGACCUAAACUAUAUGUGCGCUGCUGCAGGAAAAAAGUUUCUGCUGAACUGGUGACCAGUAGAAAGCAAGGCAGGGAAUAAAAAUACCAGAGAAAACUGAUUUUUUCUUGCAAGGCAGAAUGUCCAAAAAUGUAUAUAAGUCAUCAUUUACCAAUGGUGGUGUUUUGGAAAAAAAAAAAAUCGGAGGCAUUUUGUCUUUCUGGCACUGUUACACAAGAAGGUUGUUGCUGUUGUAGAGCUGCUUGGUGGCUCUUUGCCAGGCGUUGGGCAGAAGUGAAAUUUCCAAAUUGCUGUUGGGAAUUUUUCUGCGUUUCACCUUGGCCCAGCUGAGAAGCCACCUACUCAUUCAUGCUAUUGGACUUGGACUCUGCCAGCUUGAGCAAUCCUAACACCAAAACCACACGAUUUGCACUUAACAAGCUCUCUGCUGCUUCUUUCUUUGCACCUCAGGUUGCUGCUCUGUCAGGCCGAGCCUGAUGCUGGUCAUCAGCUGGGUGCUGGCUCACCUUGGGCUGGUCGAACACCCCGUUUACUCUUGCUGGAGAUUUGAGUGGUAGUCCAGCUUUUCAGACAGAGGUGAUGAAAACUGCAUCUGACUAGAGGACUGAAGAUCAGUGCUACAGGUUUCACGUUCAAAGGAGCCGUCAACCUGCAGUCUAUCUCGUCUCUUUGAAACCAGGCCACCUUUCUCUCGACAGCUGUGGGCAUUUCUUCUUGCAGCUUUAGUGUAAGGCUUGGUUCUUGGCAAAUAAACUGCAAUAAAUCUCUCUGCUAGCUGAAGCAUCAGCUGUGCCCAACCAGGGCAAGAUAAUGUGGAUGACCUUUGAAAAUGGGAGAAAACAAGGAGUCACCCAGUAAUUUGCUAUGCCUAUGAAAAUACUGGAGGGGUUUUGCUGUUCUCUGCAAGCACAAAACCUAGGAAAAACUUCCUUGGAGGAGCUAAAUGCGGUUCCGGAUUUAGUCACAUAGGGAUUACUCCACCACAGCAGACACACCAUCCUUUUGGUCCCAUAUUCAGCACAUUUGCUGAGCCACAAAAAAAGCACAAAAUGCCUGUUCAUGGUCCUACAUUUCCGCUGCAUUUUAGUUUUUCUUAUUUUUAAUACUUAUCGCCGGACUAUUAAUGCACCAUAACAGUACCAGGGUUCUUUUUAACCCCAAAUGGUUUUGAUUUUAACACAUUUAGAGGUUGUUGUAUGUAAGCCUUAUCUUUCAUCUGUGGUCAGUUCCUGAAAGCCCUUAUUAAACAUUGACUCCAGUAUGAAUUUUGCUGGACCAUGUAAAGGUCUUCAUGAUAUGAUGUUUCAUACAUAGAGAGACAUAUUAAGGGCCAGAUCUUCCUCUAUCCAACCUCAGUGGAUGAGGCACAAAGGAUGCUUGUAUAAAAAGAAAGCAAAACCGUGUAAUAAGGAAAAUAAUCAAAGAAGAAAUGAUGGGGCAGCUGUAAAGCAGACCUAGAGGAAGGUGGCCUAUGAGAUCCAUCAGAUCCCACCUUCAGAACAUUCAUCCAGCCCUGCAGGUGGAGAGGACAGACUGCGAUUUUGUCCGGCUUCUGCUGUCAUUAAAGCCCUUAUGUCUGCAUUUUCUUGACUUGAGAGAGGGGAGUCAGGGAUCCACCUUGGUCUUUGCAGGAUGCAAACAGAUGAACUGUAUUUAUGGAUUUGGGGUGAAAGCCAUCCUUGUGCAGGAGCACUCCUGUGCAGCCCAGCUGUGCGACGCUGGCUGGGGUUGGUUUACCUGGAGGGUAAAUCAGGGGCUGUUGGCGCUGCCUCCUCACCCACCUGGCUCAUGCGUGCCUGGGGACUGCGGCCUCGCAGUUCGUCAAGCAGUGUACUAUGGCAUUAUUUUUAUAUGAAACAUUAGAAACCUUAUUUUUAUAGUGAAGUGUUUUAGCCAUUUGAAUGUAUGUAAUGUCCUGUUCUUGCUACGGAGCAUCGCUGUGUCGCGACUUUUCUGGAAACACUGGAAAACACUGUGCCUUCUCUCUUUUCUUUGCUGGUCUUGGAUGGCUUGUGCGUAUCCAUGGGAGCUGGAUCACUCUCCAGGCGCUACAGCAAAUGGAGUGGACACUUGUCUUGUCUGGCUACAAGUAAAAUCCUUGCCUGGAGCAAUUCUGGGAAGAUGGUUGUUUACCCGGCAGGUCUGACCACUUUGAGUCCCACUGCAGAAUUUGUAAUGGUUUUGGCUCCACGGCUGACUCCUACCAUCUUCCAGCUGCCGCGGUCAUGUUGGUACUCAUCAGGAGGAGCUGCUCCUCCAGUCUGGAUUCAUCCUUGUGCUCACCUUGCUCCCCUCUCCUGCUCCCAGGGCUGUUAGCAGGCAGGACACUGGCACCGCUCAUGGAGGGCAGUUAAAACCCAAGGCAGGACUGGACCCCUGUUCUUAAUCGCCUUAUGCUCUGCAACAGGCAAUUUGGGAGAGCAGAAGGGAGAGGACGGGUGAGGGAGUGAGGAGCUGUGUAAAAACGUCAGCUCCAACAGUGAUGAAAUCAUUUCCGACGUGCAGACCGAGUGCAGGCGCCAGCAUGGAGCCAUUCAGGGGCUGUGGCUCUGGAGCACUGAAGGAGCUUUUGGACACCCUGUCUGUUGGCAGUCUGGUGGCACAUCCUCUUUGCUGCUGCUCCUUGGCUUCUCUAUGUCUGAUAGUGCAGGGAAAGUCCUGGUAGGCAAAGGACAUCCAACUAUGGACCUCCCUGUGCUCUUCCUGGAGGUCUCGGGGCUGCCUCAGGUGUAGAAUUAGGCCCAGGAAAUAACCAAUGCCAAGUCUAGCGUGCUCAGUUGGAACAAGGCUUGCCUUCUGCAAGUAGCACGCUGGACUCAUGCGCAUACCUUGAGGUUUCCUCCCUAACCAUAGGAGCCAAGAGGGGCCAUGGUCAUGGUGUGCCCCUUCUGAUCCCUUGCUGACCCACGUCUUUGGUUUCCAGCUCCACAUCAGUGCAAGCCUUCUCCACCACCACAUUACCUGGCUGUUUUGAUAGAGAUCACUGAAACUCCAAACAGGCUCCCUUCCAUGCCUUCACAUCCCUACGGGAUCCAUCCAGUGGCACAGGGGCAGGUCUUGAGGGCACUAAUUGGCCUUAAUCACCCUGACCAGCCUCACCUGUGGAUGGACUCCCACCCCACAGCCUCUGCCCAAGGCCCAGAAGCCCUAUUUAAACCUAGGCUGGGGUCUUCAUUCUCUGCUUUGGCUGUGCUGUAAGAACGUUGGUUUGAUGUCCUGGCUGUGAGACUGUCUCUUGGAUAGAGCCUGGAUCUAGGUAGUAGUGAAGUCGCGCAAACAUGAGAUAAUCUUCAAGGAAACCUGUUUCUACCUUUCUUCUCCUCCAAGAAGCCCUGGCUUGCCCCGUUCCCAAGCCACCACCAGGACCCCCUUUGUGCUCCCACCCACCAUCGUCCCAUGUGGGUUUCCACCAGGUCCUUGCCACCCCUUUCACACAGACCUGCUGCAUCUCACCUUCCCAGGAGGAGAUAGCUGCAUGGAAGCUGGACUGAUGCCCACUAGUGCCCUGUGGAGCUGCCUUUGGUGUCUGUGCUACCCGCCUUUCCUGCCCUCGGGGCUCUCUCCAGGGCCACUUUCUUGGGGUUGUGGUGGGGUUUUUCCCAUCUCUCUGCAGAAAUUACCUGUCUGUGCACUGUCUGUUUGAUGACCACAAGAUCCCAUCCCUCCAAACUUCUCAUUUUGAUCCCAUUGCCAGUGCGGGAGGCAGAGGAGGCAAGACUGGAGAUCAGACCCGGCAUCAGACCCAGACUCUCCUCAGAUGCCCUGUUGCUCUUGCCCCAUUUCUUCCUCUUCUACAAUGCCUCCUAAACACACUAAAAUCAUCUCUGCUCCUGGGUCCCUCCUAGCUCUGUCCAGUGUUUUUUCCUGGCUGACAACAUCUGUCUCACCCCAUCCCAAGCCGAGUGCUCCAGCAGGUCCGUGCCUAACGCAGCACCCUUGGCACGGCCAGGCUGGCUGGGAAGGCGCAUCAGUCACUUGCCUUUGACUCGGGCAAACCAGCAAAACCCAUCAAUGACCUGUUCCUGCUCAGAGAUUUUGAGUCAUCUCUCCCAUUAGAAAUACACAGGCAAGCAUUAUACGUGAUGUCUCACCUUCACACGAAGUUGUUUUUAAUCUGCUCUCCCGGGUAAAUCUCAGUUCUUCCAAAACUUCCUGGAAGCCCCUUGAGGCUUUUCUACAGAAAGCAGAAGUGGCUGCCCCGCUCCUCAGCCUCUUCUACACAUCGCUGGACGUGCCCCCCAAAAUAAAUGACGACAGAAAUCCCCUCAUCCCUGGGAACAGGAUUCUUAGAACAGGUCCUGAACUUUAGGGAAAGCGGUUAGAGUGGGUGGCGUGCUGAGGAUAAAUUACGGCAGGGCCAGAGCCAAAGCCACAGACACCAGGCAGAGCGGCACAAAACAAGACCAAAGAAGAGCCCCUUCAC